UACAGAGGGGGCAAGCGUUAUUCGGAAUUAUUGGGCGUAAAGGGCGCGUAGGCGGCUUGGCAAGUGGAUGGUGAAAUCCCUCGGCUUAACUGGGAGGGUGCGUUAGAAACUGGAAUGCUCGAGUAUGGGAGAGGUAAGCGGAAUUCCUGGUGUAGCGGUGAAAUGCGUAGAUAUCAGGAGGAACACCUGUGGCGAAGGCGGUUCUCUGGGACGGUACUGACGCUGAGAAGCGAAAGCAUGGGGAGCGAACAGG
rnacentral:rRNA from 1 species